GACGAACGCUGGCGGCGUGCUUAACACAUGCAAGUCGAACGGAAAGGCCCUGCUUUCGUGGUGCGCUCGUGGCGAACGGGUGAGUAACACGUGUGUGUUCUGCCCCUUACUCUGGGGUAAGCCUGGGAAACUGGGUGUAUUACUGGAGAGGACCGUUCCUGAUGCGGGGUGGUGGUAAGAUUGGUUUCGGUGAGGGGUGAGGUCGCGGCGUAUCAGCGCGUUGGUGGGGGGUUGGCCUACUAAGGCGUCGACGGGUAGCCGGCGUGAGAGGGGGGACGGCGACAUUGGGACUGCGAUGCGGCGCAGACGACUACGGGAGGCAGCAGUGGGGAAUAAUGCAGAACAGGGGCAAGACGGAUGCAGCGACGCCGCGUGGGGGAUGACGGCGGUCGGGUUGUAAACUCCUUCCAGCCAUGACGAAGACCUUGUGGUGACGGUAGUGGUAGAAGAAGCACCGGCUAACUACGUG
rnacentral:rRNA from 1 species